GGAGAGGUGGCCGAGCGGUCGAAGGCGCACGCCUGGAAAGUGUGUAACACCUAACCGUGUUCGUGGGUUCGAAUCCCACCCUCUCCGCCA
rnacentral:tRNA from 1 species